rnacentral:rRNA from 1 species
GACGAACGCUGGCGGCGUGCUUAACACAUGCAAGUCGAACGGAAAGGCCCUGCUUUUGUGGGGUGCUCGAGUGGCGAACGGGUGAGUAACACGUGAGUAACCUGCCCUUGACUUUGGGAUAACUUCAGGAAACUGGGGCUAAUACCGGAUAGGAGCUCCUGCUGCAUGGGGGGGGUUGGAAAGUUUCGGCGGUUGGGGAUGGACUCGCGGCUUAUCAGCUUGUUGGUGGGGUAGUGGCUUACCAAGGCUUUGACGGGUAGCCGGCCUGAGAGGUUGACCGGCCACAUUGGGACUGCGAUACGGCGCAGACUCCUACGGGAGGCAGCAGGGGGGAAUAUUGCACAAUGGGCGGAAGCCUGAUGCAGCAACGCCGCGUGCGGGAUGACGGCCUUCGGGGUGUAAACCGCUUUCGCAUUUGACGAAGCGGGAGUGACGGUAAUGGGUAAAGAAGCACCGGCUAACUACGUG